CGCUGGCGGCGUGCCUAACACAUGCAAGUCGAACGGAACGAAAAGAGCUUGCUCUUGGCGUUUAGUGGCGGACGGGUGAGUAACACGUGAGUAACCUACCUUCAGAGGGGAAUAAUGUCUGGAAACGGACACUAAUACCGCAUAAAAUAUUUUAACCGCAUGAUUGAAAUAUCAAAGGAGCAAUCCGCUGAAAGAUGGACUCGCGUCUGAUUAGCCAGUUGGCGGGGUAACGGCCCACCAAAGCGACGAUCAGUAGCCGGACUGAGAGGUUGAACGGCCACAUUGGGACUGAGACACGGCCCAGACUCCUACGGGAGGCAGCAGUGGGGGAUAUUGCACAAUGGGCGCAAGCCUGAUGCAGCAACGCCCGCGUGCAGGAAGACGGUCUUCGGAUUGUAAACUGUUGUCCUCUGUGACGAUAAUGACGGUAGCAGAGGAGGAAGCCACGGCUAACUACGUGCCAGCAGCAGC
rnacentral:rRNA from 1 species